rnacentral:rRNA from 1 species
UACGUAGGGUGCAAGCGUUGUCCGGAAUUAUUGGGCGUAAAGAGCUCGUAGGCGGUUUGUCGCGUCUGCUGUGAAAAUCCAGGGCUUAACCCUGGACCUGCAGUGGGUACGGGCAGACUGGAGUGCGGUAGGGGAGAUCGGAAUUCCUGGUGUAGCGGUGAAAUGCGCAGAUAUCAGGAGGAACACCGGUGGCGAAGGCGGAUCUCUGGGCCGUAACUGACACUGAGGAACGAAAGCCAGGGUAGCGAAUGGG